rnacentral:tRNA from 1 species
GGGGAUGUAACUCAGUAAGUAGAGUAUCUGCCUAGUAUGCAGAAGGCCCUGGGUUCAAUCCCCAGUGACACAG